CCUGGUGGCUCAGAGGGUAAAGCAUCUGCCUGCAAUGUGGGAAACCUGGGUUCGAUCCCUGCGUCAGGA
rnacentral:tRNA from 1 species